rnacentral:rRNA from 1 species
GACGAACGCUGGCGGCGUGCUUAACACAUGCAAGUCGAACGGUAAGGCCCUUUCGGGGGUACACGAGUGGCGAACGGGUGAGUAACACGUGGGUGACCUGCCCCUCACUUUGGGAUAAGCCUGGGAAACUGGGUCUAAUACCGAAUAUGACCGCAUGUUGCAUGGUGUGUGGUGGAAAGUUUUUCGGUGGGGAGUGGCCGCGGCCUAUCAGCUUGUUGGUGGGGUGGAUGGCCUACCAAGGCUUCGACGGGUAGCCGGCCGGAGAGGGCGUCCGGCCACACUGGGACUGAGACACGGUCCAGACUCCUACGGGAGGGCAGCAGUGGGGGAAUCUUUGCGCAAAUGGACGGAAAAGUACUGAACGCAGCGACGCCGCGU